rnacentral:rRNA from 1 species
GUUUUUGGGAUCGUUUCCCUCCCGGGGCGGCGCGCCACGGUACCUGCGGUAGGCCUUCGUCGAACUGGUCGAGUACCCGCGGUUGGCGUUACCGCUGCAGGCCCUCCAGUCGGCGUUCAUGAUGCUGGCGCUGCAGACGGCGGAGAAGGAGCGGCCGGAUACGGGGGUGCUGGAGAAGGUCGAGUGGUUCUACCUGUACCCAGGCACAGGAUUCGACGUGAGCAACGUCGAGGCGUUCCUUAUGCUCCUCCGGUUUCGGUUUCCAUACCUGUUGAUACUAGCACUUAACCUUCUUUGAUAUCUUUCUGACUAUCAACUCACGCUCUCUUUCUAAGUUUCUCGGGAAUUCGCAAACCUCCUCCUUCUGCGGUUCCGUCGAUAACGUUAAAGAUAGUGACUCCAAUGUGUCUCAUCUCUCCAUGAGCUCAAGAGGUUUGUUUAAUUCCUCUUCUACUUCCUCUAUCUGUGAAAACUGAAACUACCUUUGUGACUCCCUUUUUAAGCCCGAUGACUUCUCCAACUAUUUGAGUUCCUUGUCUCUCGACUUCUCGUCCGUUUCGACGAGGAACUUCGGAAAUUAUUCCUGGCACAAAACAAUCACUUAAGAGAGGUUUGACGAUGCGUUAGUUGUCGUGUACGACGAGGUCUACGAGCAUGUGUUCUUUACUAAUUACUUUUCGAGUUUUUUCGUCUCCUUAAUCCACUCUCACCCUACUAACUACUUCGUGUUUUUGACAACCUACUUCGUCUUCGAGACUUCUUCGACCCACGCGCCGGUGUCGGACAAGGACUGAGACGUUUUUACAGGUGAGUGCAAGUUUAAUGACUAGUUUUCAACGCGGACACACUGUAUACACCUCGUAAGAACUCGCACAUACUGUCACUGGCCGCAAAUCGUCUAGUAAAGCCUCCCUUUGAGGUAUACCCAAUAUACGAUUAUGCACUCUUCAACAGACUUGACGUCCUUCUCUUUUUGUUUUCCGCGUUCCAUCUGGCUUGACUUGUACUGUCUUCUAGGUUCCUUUCCUCGUGUCUUGCACUAUCUCGUAGUUCGUCCCUGGCAGUAUCUCCUCUAGCUUCGUCGUCAGCACUGUCCGUGUCCCUAAUACUGGCAUCUUCAUCGGUACUAGCGAUGGUACUGUCUCUUUCAUCUAUACUGGUACUAUUUCUUAGUCCCUCUAGAGAAUCGAUACUAAGCUCCUCGGCGGCUUCCAGUGCAAGGGGUUCCCUAUCAAGAUCCCUGAUACUGGCUGUGCCCGCAGCACUGGCAACUCUACCCGUGAUCUACGUCCCUCCGAACGUAAUCUAAAAGACUCCACCCGUGAUCUACGUCCGUCCGUCCGCACGCUGUAUAAUCAUUGUCUUUUCUUUCCUUCAUCACAUAGUUGUAAGUUGGUUACGGGAAAAAACCUUUGUACUACACGAAAUCUUCUCCACCAGUCAGGUCUUGAACUACUAACGACGAAACCUACCGAACCGAGAAAAGAGACGCUGUCUUUCUGGUGGAACUCCAUAGGUAGGAACUUUCACCACAUGACGGACGGACUUCUAAAAUAUUAAAGACUACUACCUAGUUUAUGGGGUCGUAGGGUACUAGUGUUUAAGUGUUAUAGGUCCCGUUAUAGAGAACCCUCCUGGACGUACCGAUCCGACUAGCGUAGUUUCGUUCUUCAUGGAGAUAAAAACCACACGUACUAUAUAAAGGAUCGUGGACUCCCGUUUACCCAUCAGGAUCUUAUUCACGUAACUUCAAAGAAGGUGGAACAGCAGUAUUUCUUGAGAGUUCCAUGACUAAAAGACGAGUUAUCCAAGGGCAACAGGUGAGAUAGCAUCUCGUUAAUGGUCUUUUUCCUCGGCACGAACCUAUGUGGGGGAAAAUUUUUCAACUGUUUAAAACUACAUUUACUUCCCAACUCUAAUCUUGUAUGAGAAAAUAAUUUGGCGAAGAAAGGGG